AUUGAACGCUGGCGGCAUGCUUUACACAUGCAAGUCGAACGGCAGCGCGGGGCAACCUGGCGGCGAGUGGCGAACGGGUGAGUAAUAUAUCGGAACGUACCCAGAAGUGGGGGAUAACGUAGCGAAAGUUACGCUAAUACCGCAUACGAUCUACGGAUGAAAGUGGGGGACCUUCGGGCCUCAUGCUUUUGGAGCGGCCGAUAUCUGAUUAGCUAGUUGGUGAGGUAAAGGCUCACCAAGGCGACGAUCAGUAGCUGGUCCUGAGAGGACGACCAGCCACACUGGGACUGAGACACGGACCAGACUCCUACGGGAGGCAGCAGUGAGGAAUAUUGGACAAUGGGCGCAAGCCUGAUCCAGCCAUGCCGCGUGCAGGAAGAAGCAUCUAUGGUGUGUAAACUGCUUUUGUACGGGAAGAAACACUCCUACGUGUAGGAGCUUGACGGUACCGUAAGAAUAAGGAUACGGCUAACUCCGUGCCAGCAGCCGCGGUAAU
rnacentral:rRNA from 1 species